AUUCCAGCUCCAAUAGCGUAUAUUAAAGUUGUUGCAGUUAAAAAGCUCGUAGUUGGAUUUCUGGUGGGAGCGAUCGGUCUGGCGCUUAGCGCGAGUACUUGCAUCGUCUCCGGCCAUCCUUGGGGAGAGUUUGUCUGGCAUUAAGUUGUCGGGCAGAGGAUCCUCAUCGUUUACUGUGAAAAAAUUAGAGUGUUCAAAGCAGGCUUAUGCCGUUGAAUAUAUUAGCAUGGAAUAAUAAGAUAGGACUUUGGUACUAUUUUGUUGGUUUGCGCACCAAAGUAAUGAUUAAUAGGGAUAGUUGGGGGCAUUAGUACUUAACUGUCAGAGGUGAAAUUCUCCGAUUUGUUAAAGACUAACUUAUGCGAAAGCAUUUGCCAAGGAUGUUUUCAUCG
rnacentral:rRNA from 1 species